UGCCCUUUUUUUAGCUGCUAUAUAAAUGUUCGUGUCUCUCUCUAGAAUCUGCAGGUUAAGAUCUGCAAUCAGAUGCUUUAAAUCUUUCUGAUUACAGGUCAGAUUUCCCAUUUAUAUGUUCAAAUAUUAUUUGUUGUGUGUAUUUCUUUUUCUCUUUUUGGGUUAAUCAUGAUUUUGUGUAGAUCUUUAUUCAUUUCAUUUUUUGUUUUUGUAUGGGUUUGAUUUGAUUGCUGUUUUUAACUAUAGUUUUUACAUCUAUGUAUGCGUUAAGAUUUGAGCCCUUCUUUGCCCUUUUUUUUAUUGAUUGAGGGGUUAUUAGUGUUUCUGGCUGAAUCAUUUUAAAAUUUUUCUUGCAGAUAUUGUGAUAUCAACUGAUUUGGCAAUAGAUUUUGGUAGGGUUUGAAUUCUUAAUUUGAUUAAAGGCCUGGGAUUGAGCAAUUUUGUUUUUUAUUUGUCGUGCUUUGGUUCUGGUUCUUGAGUCCAAGGAAUGUCGCUGUUGC
rnacentral:misc_RNA from 1 species